rnacentral:rRNA from 1 species
UACAGAGGGGGCAAGCGUUGUUCGGAAUUACUGGGCGUAAAGGGCGCGUAGGCGGCCUUCUGAGUCGAACGUGAAAUCCCCGGGCUCAACCCGGGAACUGCGUCCGAUACUGGAAGGCUUGAAUCCGGGAGAGGGAUGCGGAAUUCCAGGUGUAGCGGUGAAAUGCGUAGAUAUCUGGAGGAACACCGGUGGCGAAGGCGGCAUCCUGGACCGGUAUUGACGCUGAGGCGCGAAAGCCAGGGGAGCAAACGGG